rnacentral:rRNA from 1 species
UACGUAGGGUGCGAGCGUUAAUCGGAAUUACUGGGCGUAAAGCGUGCGCAGGCGGUUUGUAAGCCAGAUGUGAAAUCCCCGGGCUUAACCUGGGAAUGGCAUUUGGGACUGCAAGGCUGGAGUGUGGCAGAGGAGACUGGAAUUCCUGGUGUAGCAGUGAAAUGCGUAGAUAUCAGGAGGAAUACCGAUGGCGAAGGCAGGUCUCUGGGCUG